CGGACUAUAGCUUGUAGAGCAUCCCAUUUACACUGGGAAGGGUGGCUGUUAGGACAGCCUGUUUCGA
rnacentral:tRNA from 1 species